GAUGAACGCUGGCGGCGUGCCUAAUACAUGCAAGUCGAGCGGACAGACGAGGAGCUUGCUCCUCUGACGUUAGCGGCGGACGGGUGAGUAACACGUGGAUAACCUACCUAUAAGACUGGGAUAACUUCGGGAAACCGGAGCUAAUACCGGAUAAUAUAUUGAACCGCAUGGUUCAAUAGUGAAAGACGGUUUUGCUGUCACUUAUAGAUGGAUCCGCGCCGCAUUAGCUAGUUGGUAAGGUAACGGCUUACCAAGGCGACGAUGCGUAGCCGACCUGAGAGGGUGAUCGGCCACACCGGAACUGAGACAGGGUCCAGACUACUACGGGAGGCAGCAGUAGGGAAUCUUCCGCAAUGGGCGAAAGCCUGACGGAGCAACGCCGCGUGAGUGAUGAAGGUCUUCGGAUCGUAAAACUCUGUUAUUAGGGAAGAACAAAUGUGUAAGUAACUAUGCACGUCUUGACGGUACCUAAUCAGAAAGCCACGGCUAACUACGUG
rnacentral:rRNA from 1 species